GGUUAAGCGACUAAGCGUACACGGUGGAUGCCCUGGCAGUCAGAGGCGAUGAAGGACGUGCUAAUCUGCGAUAAGCGUCGGUAAGGUGAUAUGAACCGUUAUAACCGGCGAUUUCCGAAUGGGGAAACCCAGUGUGAUUCGUCACACUAUCAUUAACUGAAUCCAUAGGUUAAUGAGGCGAACCGGGGGAACUGAAACAUCUAAGUACCCCGAGGAAAAGAAAUCAACCGAGAUUCCCCCAGUAGCGGCGAGCGAACGGGGAGGAGCCCAGAGCCUGAAUCAGUGUGUGUGUUAGUGGAAGCGUCUGGAAAGGCGCGCGAUACAGGGUGACAGCCCCGUACACAAAAAUGCACAUGCUGUGAGCUCGAUGAGUAGGGCGGGACACGUGGUAUCCUGUCUGAAUAUGGGGGGACCAUCCUCCAAGGCUAAAUACUCCUGACUGACCGAUAGUGAACCAGUACCGUGAGGGAAAGGCGAAAAGAACCCCGGCGAGGGGAGUGAAAAAGAACCUGAAACCGUGUACGUACAAGCAGUGGGAGCACAGAGCAAUCUGUGUGACUGCGUACCUUUUGUAUAAUGGGUCAGCGACUUAUAUUCUGUAGCAAGGUUAACCGAAUAGGGGAGCCGAAGGGAAACCGAGUCUUAACUGGGCGUUAAGUUGCAGGGUAUAGACCCGAAACCCGGUGAUCUAGCCAUGGGCAGGUUGAAGGUUGGGUAACACUAACUGGAGGACCGAACCGACUAAUGUUGAAAAAUUAGCGGAUGACUUGUGGCUGGGGGUGAAAGGCCAAUCAAACCGGGAGAUAGCUGGUUCUCCCCGAAAGCUAUUUAGGUAGCGCCUCGUGAAUUCAUCUCCGGGGGUAGAGCACUGUUUCGGCAAGGGGGUCAUCCCGACUUACCAACCCGAUGCAAACUGCGAAUACCGGAGAAUGUUAUCACGGGAGACACACGGCGGGUGCUAACGUCCGUCGUGAAGAGGGAAACAACCCAGACCGCCAGCUAAGGUCCCAAAGUCAUGGUUAAGUGGGAAACGAUGUGGGAAGGCCCAGACAGCCAGGAUGUUGGCUUAGAAGCAGCCAUCAUUUAAAGAAAGCGUAAUAGCUCACUGGUCGAGUCGGCCUGCGCGGAAGAUGUAACGGGGCUAAACCAUGCACCGAAGCUGCGGCAGCGACACUAUGUGUUGUUGGGUAGGGGAGCGUUCUGUAAGCCUGUGAAGGUGUGCUGUGAGGUAUGCUGGAGGUAUCAGAAGUGCGAAUGCUGACAUAAGUAACGAUAAAGCGGGUGAAAAGCCCGCUCGCCGGAAGACCAAGGGUUCCUGUCCAACGUUAAUCGGGGCAGGGUGAGUCGACCCCUAAGGCGAGGCCGAAAGGCGUAGUCGAUGGGAAACAGGUUAAUAUUCCUGUACUUGGUGUUACUGCGAAGGGGGGACGGAGAAGGCUAUGUUGGCCGGGCGACGGUUGUCCCGGUUUAAGCGUGUAGGCUGGUUUUCCAGGCAAAUCCGGAAAAUCAAGGCUGAGGCGUGAUGACGAGGCACUACGGUGCUGAAGCAACAAAUGCCCUGCUUCCAGGAAAAGCCUCUAAGCAUCAGGUAACAUCAAAUCGUACCCCAAACCGACACAGGUGGUCAGGUAGAGAAUACCAAGGCGCUUGAGAGAACUCGGGUGAAGGAACUAGGCAAAAUGGUGCCGUAACUUCGGGAGAAGGCACGCUGAUAUGUAGGUGAAGUCCCUCGCGGAUGGAGCUGAAAUCAGUCGAAGAUACCAGCUGGCUGCAACUGUUUAUUAAAAACACAGCACUGUGCAAACACGAAAGUGGACGUAUACGGUGUGACGCCUGCCCGGUGCCGGAAGGUUAAUUGAUGGGGUCAGCGCAAGCGAAGCUCUUGAUCGAAGCCCCGGUAAACGGCGGCCGUAACUAUAACGGUCCUAAGGUAGCGAAAUUCCUUGUCGGGUAAGUUCCGACCUGCACGAAUGGCGUAAUGAUGGCCAGGCUGUCUCCACCCGAGACUCAGUGAAAUUGAACUCGCUGUGAAGAUGCAGUGUACCCGCGGCAAGACGGAAAGACCCCGUGAACCUUUACUAUAGCUUGACACUGAACAUUGAGCCUUGAUGUGUAGGAUAGGUGGGAGGCUUUGAAGUGUGGACGCCAGUCUGCAUGGAGCCGACCUUGAAAUACCACCCUUUAAUGUUUGAUGUUCUAACGUUGACCCGUGAUCCGGGUUGCGGACAGUGUCUGGUGGGUAGUUUGACUGGGGCGGUCUCCUCCUAAAGAGUAACGGAGGAGCACGAAGGUUGGCUAAUCCUGGUCGGACAUCAGGAGGUUAGUGCAAUGGCAUAAGCCAGCUUGACUGCGAGCGUGACGGCGCGAGCAGGUGCGAAAGCAGGUCAUAGUGAUCCGGUGGUUCUGAAUGGAAGGGCCAUCGCUCAACGGAUAAAAGGUACUCCGGGGAUAACAGGCUGAUACCGCCCAAGAGUUCAUAUCGACGGCGGUGUUUGGCACCUCGAUGUCGGCUCAUCACAUCCUGGGGCUGAAGUAGGUCCCAAGGGUAUGGCUGUUCGCCAUUUAAAGUGGUACGCGAGCUGGGUUUAGAACGUCGUGAGACAGUUCGGUCCCUAUCUGCCGUGGGCGCUGGAGAACUGAGGGGGGCUGCUCCUAGUACGAGAGGACCGGAGUGGACGCAUCACUGGUGUUCGGGUUGUCAUGCCAAUGGCACUGCCCGGUAGCUAAAUGCGGAAGAGAUAAGUGCUGAAAGCAUCUAAGCACGAAACUUGCCCCGAGAUGAGUUCUCCCUGACUCCUUGAGAGUCCUGAAGGAACGUUGAAGACGACGACGUUGAUAGGCCGGGUGUGUAAGCGCAGCGAUGCGUUGAGCUAACCGGUACUAAUGAACCGUGAGGCUUAACCUU
rnacentral:rRNA from 1 species